rfam:Triticum urartu cultivar G1812 contig141425, whole genome shotgun sequence.
CAACUACUCCCUCCGUCCCAAAAUUCUUGUCUUAAAUUUGUUUAGAUACGGAUGUAUCUAACACUAAAACGUAACUCGAUACAUUCAUAUUUAGACAAAUCUAAGAAAAGAAAUUUGGGACGGAGGGAGUACAAU